GUUGCAUUGAAAACACUAAUAGUUAUCCAUAGGGUGCUGAGGGAGGGUGACCCGACUUUCAGGGAAGAAAUUUUGAACUUUUCGCAACGAGCACGUAUACUCCAACUUUCUAAUUUCAAGGAUGAUUCUAGCCCUAUCGCAUGGGAUUGCUCUGCCUGGGUACGUACAUAUGCUUUGUUUUUGGAAGAGAGACUUGAAUGCUUUAGGAUUCUGAAGUAUGACAUUGAAGCUGAGCGCCUCCCAAGACCUUCCCAGGGGCAGGAUAAGGGUUACAGCAGAACGAGGGAUUUGGGCAGCGAAGAAUUGUUGGAGCAGUUGCCUGCUCUGCAGCAAUUGCUUCAUCGUCUCAUUGGCUGCCGGGUAUUAAUACAUUUUAAGC